UACGAAGGGGGCUAGCGUUGCUCGGAAUCACUGGGCGUAAAGGGUGCGUAGGCGGCUUCUUAAGUCAGGGGUGAAAUCCUGGAGCUCAACUCCAGAACUGCCUUUGAUACUGAGAAGCUUGAGUCCGGGAGAGGUGAGUGGAACUGCGAGUGUAGAGGUGAAAUUCGUAGAUAUUCGCAAGAACACCAGUGGCGAAGGCGGCUCACUGGCCCGGUACUGACGCUGAGGUGCGAAAGCGUGGGGAGCAAACAGG
rnacentral:rRNA from 1 species